AUGUUAUUGAGAUGAGUUUUAUGAACGUGGACUUGGCGCAAUUUUUUACAGUGAAACUGUUUUUGUUCGGAUUUUCAGUAAGAUAAGCUUUAGUAAGAUCCAACUUAAGACCAAGUCAGCGCGUGUUCGUCAAUUUCCGUGAAAAUUCUUAUGUUUCCAACGAUCUCAUUGGUUGAAACGUACUUAAAUUUUGACGAUGAAGUUUUUUAUUCAAAAUUGUAAACAGAUGUACAAAUGUACCUUAGAAAAUUGUAAGCCUCAAAUUCAAGUUACACUAGAAAAUUAUUACCGCAAGAUCAGAAGAAAAUAUGUCAAAAACAGGAAAAAGUACUCAUUUUACCGCUGUAGAAAAAAAAUAUUUUCUACAAAUUUUAAAAAAUUAUGCCCAAGUAAUUGAAAAUAAAAAGAGUGAUGCUGCUACAUUAAGUGAAAAAAAAAGAAGCAUGGGAUUUUAUCGCAACCGACUUUAAUUCAUCUAGUAUAAUUACUGAAAAACGAAACGCAAAUCAACUCAAAAAAAUUUGGUAAAAUCUAAAAACAAAACAACGGAAUGCGCUGACAACCGAAAAGCAACAUCGCCUUGCAACUGGGGGCGGUCCAUCAAUUCCAGAUUCUGAAGUUGAUCCUGAUAUUGCACUUAUUGCCCCAAACUUAAUUAAAACUGCACCGAUUUUAUUUUCUUCAAAUAUGUCUGAAGAAGAAGUUACUGGGACGUUUUUAUCUUUUUUUCCUUCUCUAAAUGUAAUGCUGUUGACUCAAUGGAAUGUGAAAAAUAUAUAAGCCUUGAACAACUAUUCCCAGAUGAUGAGAAUGAUGGCAAUGAUGAUGAAGAAUUACCACGUGAACCCUCAUCGUCUAUUGUUACUAAAAAAUCCUCAACAAUCUAGGAAAAGAACUAAAGGAAGAGAAAAUCCAUCCAAUGAAGACGAGAAAUUCUAUAGAAGCGAAAGGUUAAGAAAAAUAAUAAAGCAAAAA
rnacentral:lncRNA from 1 species